rnacentral:sRNA from 1 species
UCCAUUCAUCCAUCGUGUGUUGUCCUCGG